rnacentral:lncRNA from 1 species
UCGAAGAAAAACUCACCCAGCAGAAACAAGAAUGAUGUCUGGCUUAAAUCUUUGAGCACAAGGUACAAUAACUUCAUCAAACACAGUUCUAAUAGUAGUAUCACCAGAACCUUCAGGAAGAGGCAGAUUUAGCGUGGUUCCUUCACCAUCCCCAGUACCUACCUCAUCAAAUUUUCCUGUACCUGGAUAGCUUCCAUCCUGAGCCGUUAAAUAGAAGUUAAUAAAUAUAACAACUCUUCUCCUAGCAAUGUCAUAUAUGAAGUUUAUGCUAUUUUAUUUUGUCCAACUGCAUAAUCCUUGUAGGGAGGAUUACUAUUUAUGAAUGGAUUUUAAGAAUACCAAUGAAGAAAACCAAGAAAAUAUAAUCAAAACUAUGGAGUAUGGACCAAACUUGUAGCUUACUUGGUGGAAGGAAAGGAAAAAUACAUCUGGAUCAUCGUAGAAAGCGUCAUUUGUUCCAUUUCCAUGGUGAACAUCAAAGUCAAUUAUAAACACACGCUUCAGUCCAUGAACACGCUGAGCAUGACGAGCCGCAAUGGCCACAUUUGCAAAAAUGCAAAAUCCCAUAGCUCCUUGUGGAAUAGCGUGAUGUCCUGGUGGUCUUAUCAAAGCAAAACCAGUAGGUGAAUCUUUGUUUAUCUUUGAAGCUGCAACCUGAAUGUGAAAAAUUCAAUAAGAGAAAUUUAUAUAAUGAGUACAAACUCUAAAAUACAAUUUAAUUACGAAAGUGUAGACAUAUACACAACCUUCACCUUUGGCUAAAACACAAAUUUAAUUACGAAGAGGAAGAAUAAAGGUAGCAAGGAGAAAACUCUUGACCACUUGGUUAUAGAUGCAUUGAUACCAUGUUUCUAAAACUUAAGCUCGGAAGUGGAGACUCAAUAACUAUUUGAAUAUUGGUUCAAAAAAAAAAAAAAAUAACUAUUUGAAUAUCUCCAAAAACUUACAAUGCAUUGGACAUUUAAAAAGUCAAAUAGGAACACAAUUUUAAUUCAAAAAAUUGUUACAUUUGUGACUUCCCACUGCCACCAACCAUUGAAAGAUAUAGAGAAAGGUAGAUAUAUGCACUUCAGUCAAUAUCUGGUUCUGAGAAACCAAAGACCCAAAUUUCCAACAAAGAGCAAAAUAGUUUCCAAUAUACACAUCGUUACUAGAAGCAGAUAUGUUGUACAUAUCUAUCUCCACUCACUUAACCCAACCCAAAACAAUUACAAAGAUUAACGCAACGAGAUGGACAUGCCAGGUUGAGAGAUUACCACUGAGUCAACUAAGGCUAAUCCAGCACCAGCUGCUACUAUUGACUCCUGGAAAGUCUGCAUUAUAAAUACCACAAUAAGCAUGCAAAAACAUGGAAAUCAAUAUGGUUUUCUACUGAAUAAAUGUAUCUUCUACCACAAUGAACUAGAAUACGAAGUUUCUAGAAUAGAAUGACUUGCUGCAGACACUCUGAACUUGGGAAAGCAAGAAAAAGCUUGAGCUUAGUACUUACAGUAGACGUAGCAUAUGUUGGUCCAGAACCUUCAAUGAAAACUAGGCCCUUUUCCAAAUCUUUAUUUUUUUUUGAAUGGCGGCCCUUUUCCAAAGCUUGAUCGAUAACCUGUGAAGAUUCAGGAGAGGAUAAAAUGUCAACUUCAAAACAAAAAUUCUGUGUCGUGGUAAAAUGAGAUUAUCUACAAAUUAUGAAAUGCCUAAGUAUCACAAACUAUGCCAAUAGCUAGUGAUCAUAAAUUUUGAACUAAAAACAAGGAUACUUAAAACUAAUUAGUCAGAACUUGGAAUACAUUAGUAGUGUUUAAGCUAAAAUACACUGAACAAUUCAGUGUGCAGCAGAAAUCCGCUUCCUCGCCAUGACGUUUUAUAAUCACUGUGCACUAAAUCAUAAUUAAAGUAAUGAUUAAGUGAAACUGGUUCAGAAACAAACAUUAUAGGAAAGACAGAGUUGAUAGACAAUUGUUCAGUUCAGACCCUAGAAUUUAUAGAAAGAACAGAGGAAACUUUGGUUUUAUAGCAUAGGAAAAACAAGGAAUCACCAGGUAUUUCAGAGCCUGGCUUCUCCUUUAACAUAAUAAAUGAGAUUCCCCCUACUCGUUACAUUAUUUUCUGUAAUUAUGUAAUUUUAUACCCUAAUCAAAACUAAGUAUAAGGCUUACCCCACUUUAUUAUUUGGGGUCGUCCUUAUUUCUCCUAAAGAAACAUAUGCAACUCUAAUAAUAGAUUUUAUAAAAUAACAAAGACAAAGUAACAAGGUCAGAAGUCAGAACUACUUAACCGCUAGGGUGCAUCCAUAUUUCUCCCAGAAAAACCAUCCCAUCAAAAUUGGAGUCAGUUAUUAGGUGAAUGUUGCGAUACACUGCAUUGUAAGGUGUACACAAUGGGAAAAAUGAUUAAUGGCAUCUGUAACCAAUAUCAAAAACCAAAAAGAAGAGAAGGGGAUGAAUCCCCUGCUGCCACAGAAGACCCCCUUACUUAUUGCAUGCAGCUCUUUCUCUCUUGAACAGCUAUUUCUCUCUCCUUUAUUCAACUACUAAUUUGUAUGACGUAAAAUCUAUGGCUGGAAGUACAACAGCAAGAAUUGAAAAGAAAUACAGGUAACAAAAGGAAGCAUAAGAUUAACUGAUUAAGCGAACUCAAGUGGAAUUUUGCCUAAAAUAUAUUAGCAAACGUCAAGCGGAAUUUAUAAGUAUAAUAUAAAAUUGAAAAAUUCCAUAAUCUAGAAAACACAACAUCUCACAUAUGAAAUAGUUGAAGCAAACAAAAAACGUUACCUUUUCAAGCUCAGAAACAUAGUCUCUUGCAUGCACACUUGCAAUGUGAUCGGUUGAAGCAGGUUCAAAAUGUUGAAGUUUCACGACCUCAGAGCCACGAAACUGAAUCAUGCAUAAACAAAAGUUGUGGAAAUGAAAAUACUUUAUAAUUACUAGUAUUUAAUGUCACUAAAGUAUGGCUAAUCAUAAUACAGUUGCACAUAGUGUCAAGUUAAGUUGGUCUUUUUCUAAAACCGAAACAUGUACAGAAAUCUAUAGAAACCGAUUGUGUAUGGAAAUUGAUUUGUCUUUCAAACAAAUAUGCAAUACUUCAAAUUAAGUUAUCAAAUGCGAAGACAUAAAUGGGCGUUACUUUUAGUACCUUCGGAGUGAGUUUCAUUUCUCCCAAAGCAUUCACAAUUGAAGGAAUGCGAAAAUGUGAUUCUGGAUGAUCCUCCUGUUAAUAGUGGAAUAUCUAUAUUACAAUCACAAAUAAUGUGAUUUGUUAGGCUAUAUUAGUAAGUUAGUGGUUAUAUUAGUUUCUAGGGUUUGAACCUUGAACACUAGUAAGUAACACUAGUAAUAAUAAUAUUGAGAAAAUUGAAAUGAAACCUGGUUGUGGCCCAUGGAAGGAGCAACGGAAUAUAUAAGACGAGCAUUAGUCAAUUGAUCAAUAGAAGGUAGAGAAGAUUGGAUCUUCUUGUGUCUCUUAUGAUUGUUGUUGAAGAAUCUGAUAGUUUUUUCCAAUUGAAAACUACUCUUCCAGUUGUUUACAUGAUGAUGACCGAGGAGAAAUAGUGCCUUCCCUGUUGUUAAAUCACAUCACAUGCACAAUUUUAGAGUUUGAUUUCAAAUCGUACACUAAAUUGGAAAUCAAAGUUACCAAAACCAGAGAGAGAGAGACAGAGUACCGGAGUGAGGAAGAAGGUUGCGUAGGUGCAGCAUUGGAGAGUGUUAGUUCAACGCAGCGCCGAAAUUUCUUAUUUCUUUCCUUCUUUUUAUUUUAAGGCGCCCUAAAUGGAUGAGUAAAAAUUGUAAUUUUAUAAGUUAUUUUAUUAUAAAUUAUUUUGACAAACUUAUAAUAAUAUAUAAAAGUGCAUAAGUUGUUUGCAUAAACUCUAAAUAAGAAAAAAAAAUGUCAAGUCAAACAAUACCUAAGUAUUUUUUGCGGGUAACUUGAAAGUUGAAACGAUAAUGCUACAAUGUAGAUUUUCUAGGAAUAAUAUUCCAAUACUUGAAACGAGAACAAGUAACUUUGGAUGUACGAUACAUAUGUAAAAUUCUCAAGUGUUUUUGGAAUGAGAAUACCCUUUGACUUAAUGGCAACGGAAUAUAAGAAAAUUAGUUUACACAUGAAUAAUUUGCCAUAAUCAUUUGACAAAAUUAAUUACUAUUUACACCGAUAAGUGCUAAGACAAGAGUGGAGUUUUCAUUGAAAGACCACAGCAAUCUUGCACGAUGGAUUUGCUUCUUCUAUGUGACAAGUGGGACGAUGACCACUCAAGGCAGGUUUUGGUUUUUAACAUCACAAGGAAUGAAUGCAUUUUAUCCUCUGAAUUGCUUGCUUAACCUUUUUUGAUGGCUCUUCAUACAAAAUGUUUGGGUUAUCAAACUCAGAUGCCAAGCUUUUGUCCCCAAGAAGAGCACGAAAUGUGUCUGCCACUGAAUACGAAAGAGACUUGAGAUUAUAUCCUCCUUCCAAGAAAAAUAUGCAUCGACCCCCGCAUAAGUCUUUUGCCAGUUGUUUAAUAUUGGACGCAAGCAUGUAAUAUGUUCCCGUUGUUAAUUGAAGAUUAGCUAGUGGAUCUAACACGUGGCCGUCAUACCUAACAAAUGAAAUAGCAAGAAAUUCCAAAGGUAAAAACAAGAUUUUCAAGAAUUUAUGUGAAGGAGUCUUUUCCUGAAUGAAAAAUCUAAUAAAAAUUUCAUGUAGUUGUAGAAUUAAAAAUCAAGAGGUGUGGUGGAAUGUAACUUGCUGAAAUUGAUAGUAAAUUGUUAAUUCCAUCUAUGUUUUGAUGAUAAUGAUUCAAAGAAAAACUCACCCAGCAGAAACAAGAAUGAUGUCUGGUUUAAAUCUUUGAGCACAAGGUACAAUAACUUCAUCGAACACAGUUCUAAUUGUAGUAUCGCCAGAACCUCCAGGAAGAGGCAGAUUUAGUGUGGUUCCUAAACCAUCCCCAGCACCUACCUCGUCAAAUUUUCCUGUACCUGGAUAGCUUCCGUCCUAAGCGAUUAAAUUGAAGUUAUUAAAUAUAACAAGUCUUCUCCUAGCAAUGCCAUUAAAAAACAAGUAUUCUCCUAGCAAUGUCAUUUAUGAAGUUUAUGCUAGUUUAUUUUGUCCAACUGCAUAAUCGUUGUAGGGAGGAUAUUACUAUUUAUGAAUGGCUUUUAAGAAUACCAAUGAAGAAAACCACGAAAAUAUAAUCAAAACUUUGGACC